rnacentral:rRNA from 1 species
CGUAUCGAUGAAGAACGCAGCGAAACGCGAUAUUUCUU